CGGUGGAGCAUGUGGUUUAAUUCGAUGCAACGCGAAGAACCUUACCUGGGCUUGACAUCCCGGGAAUCCCUUGGAAACAAGGAGUGCCCUUCGGGAACCUGGAGACAGGUGCUGCAUGGCUGUCGUCAGCUCGUGUCGUGAGAUGUAGGGUUAAGUCCCGCAACGAGCGCAACCCUUGUCUUUAAUUGCCAUCAUUGAGUUGGGCACUUUAGAGAGACUGCCGGUGUUAGACCGGAGGAAGGUGGGGAUGACGUCAAGUCCUCAUGGCCUUUAUGCCCAGGGCUACACACGUGCUACAAUGGGUGGUACAAAGAGCAGCCAGCUCGCGAGAGUGAGCAAAUCUCAAAAAGCCAUCCUCAGUUCGGAUUGCAGGCUGCAAUUCGCCUGCAUGAAGUCGGAAUCGCUAGUAAUCGCGAAUCAGCAGGUCGCGGUGAAUACGUUCCCGGGCCUU
rnacentral:rRNA from 1 species